AUAAGAUCUUGGAACUCUGAUUGAGUUUCUGAGGGCUAACUUAAUCUGUUCUUAUCAGUUUAAUAUCUGAUACGUCCCCUAUCUGGGGACCAUAUAUUAAAUGGAUUUUUGAGAACGGGGGCCGAUUUCGAAGCUUGCUUCCGUCGCCCUAUGCAUUGACCCGAUAUGGCAGUAUCUUCGGGUACAGUGCACCACCC